rnacentral:lncRNA from 1 species
GUCCGGGGCUCCUCGCGCACAGCGAGGUCUCCGGGAAACCUAUCCGCCCUGAAAUCCUAGGCUGCCUCUCUCUGCUCCCCUUCACCGGGCACAGUUCACCACGCCCCGAGGCCUGGACUCUCCUCCCACCGCCAGACGUCUGUAACAGAGGAGGAAACAUCGCGGAGAUGACGUCACCUCGAAGCCACAUUACAGGUUGGCCAUUGCCGCUGUCCCCACCGCAGGAAGCAGACACUGAGAUCAAGUUGCUUGUGUGACAUCAAAGAGCAAUGAGUGACCUUGUUCUCUGGACCACAUUACUAGGAAAGCACCGAGGUGGGACCGGGAUAAUCAGAAAGGCUUCCCCGGAGGAGGUGACUUUAAUUCGGGUUUCAAUGACUGAAUAGGAGUUCUGAAAUUUAAGGAGUAAAUAAUGGAACCAAAGAGAAGUCCAUAAACCAAAGCAUAAGGGGCUAGAAGAGCCCAGCAAGGACUUUCCCAGUCCAUCCGGAGCACCCAGGUGGGCAUCGUGCCGCUAUUUGACAGAAGAGGCCAGACAGGCAGUCAGACUGUGAAAGUAAACUUUGUCCACAUUUUUGUGAUGACUGAUUUUUUUCCAGUACUGGAUACUGAACCCAGGGCCUUUGCACUAACCUACACUCUAGCCCUUUAUUUUUUAUUUCAAGAUAAUGUCUCACCUAGUUGCCCAGGCUGAAGAAGUUGCUGCCACUCCCUACCCCACCUCUUGGGAUGCUCUUCCCACUGCCCAGCGCCUGC